rnacentral:rRNA from 1 species
GACGAACGCUGGCGGCGUGCUUAACACAUGCAAGUCGAACGAAGAGCGAUGGAAGCUUGCUUCUAUCAAUCUUAGUGGCGAACGGGUGAGUAACGCGUAAUCAACCUGCCCUUCAGAGGGGGACAACAGUUGGAAACGACUGCUAAUACCGCAUACGAUCUAAUCUCGGCAUCGAGGAUAGAUGAAAGGUGGCCUCUACAUGUAAGCUAUCACUGAAGGAGGGGAUUGCGUCUGAUUAGCUAGUUGGAGGGGUAACGGCCCACCAAGGCGAUGAUCAGUAGCCGGUCUGAGAGGAAGAACGGCCACAUUGGGACUGAGACACGGCCCAGACUCCUACGGGAGGCAGCAGUGGGGAAUCUUCCGCAAUGGACGAAAGUCUGACGGAGCAACGCCGCGUGAGUGAUGACGGCCUUCGGGUUGUAAAGCUCUGUUAAUCGGGACGAAAGGCCUUCUUGCGAAUAGUGAGAAGGAUUGACGGUACCGGAAUAGAAAGCCACGGCUAACUACGUG